UACGUAGGGUGCAAGCGUUAAUCGGAAUUACUGGGCGUAAAGCGUGCGCAGGCGGCUUUGCAAGACAGAUGUGAAAUCCCCGGGCUCAACCUGGGAACUGCAUUUGUGACUGCAUGGCUAGAGUGCGGCAGAGGGGGAUGGAAUUCCGCGUGUAGCAGUGAAAUGCGUAGAUAUGCGGAGGAACACCGAUGGCGAAGGCAAUCCCCUGGGCCUGCACUGACGCUGAUGCACGAAAGCGUGGGGAGCAAACAGG
rnacentral:rRNA from 1 species